UUGGGAAGGAUCAUUACGGAUAUUGUCAAACAUGGGUGGUUGUUGGCUUCCAAACGGGGCAUGUGCACGCUCUGUUUACACAUCCACUCACACCUGUGCACCCUCUGUAGUCCUAUGGUUCGGAAGACCCCGUCUUCCUUCUGUAGCUCUACGUCUUUACACACACACUGUAGCGAUGUCUCAUGGAAUGUUUUUAUGCGUUUAACGCGAUACAAUACAACUUUCAGCAACGGAUCUCUUGGCUCUCGCAUCGAUGAAGAACGCAGCGAAAUGCGAUAAGUAAUGUGAAUUGCAGAAUUCAGUGAAUCAUCGAAUCUUUGAACGCACCUUGCGCCCCUUGGUUAUUCCUUGGAGCAUGCCUGUUUGAGUAUCAUGAACACCUCAACUCUCAUGGUCUUCCAUGAUGAGCUUGGACUUUGGGGGUUUGCUGGCCCUGCGGCCGGCUCCUCUCAAAUGAAUCAGCUUGCCAGUGUUUGGUGGCAUCACGGGUGUGAUAACUAUCUACUCUCGCGGUCGUCUGCCAGGUAACCCUCAGCGAUGAGGGUUCAUUGGAGCUCAUAAACGUCUCUCCUCGGCGAGGACAACUUUUGAACGUUCGAUCUCAAAUCUGUAGAU
rnacentral:rRNA from 1 species